GCGGGAAUAGCUCAGUUGGUAGAGCACCACCUUGCCAAGGUGGAUGUCGCGAGUUCGAGUCUCGUUUCCCGCUCCA
rnacentral:tRNA from 2 species